UACGUAGGGUGCGAGCGUUGUCCGGAUUUAUUGGGCGUAAAGAGCUCGUAGGCGGUUUGUCGCGUCGGCCGUAAAAUCUCCACGCUUAACGUGGAGCGUGCGGUCGAUACGGGCAGACUUGAGUUCGGUAGGGGAGACUGGAAUUCCUGGUGUAGCGGUGAAAUGCGCAGAUAUCAGGAGGAACACCGGUGGCGAAGGCGGGUCUCUGGGCCGUAACUGACGCUGAGGAGCGAAAGCGUGGGGAGCGAACAGG
rnacentral:rRNA from 1 species